GUACCAGUUUUUACCAGCGAUAUUGUUCUUGUGAUUAAAUAUGACCAUGGGUGUGUAUUUCAAGCUUGUGUGUAGUGCAUUCUAACGAACAGUGUAAAAACCUGGGAAUUAAUCAAACGUAUGGAUUAUGAUUAGUGUGUACAUUAAAUAUUAACUGACAACACUAUAUUGGAACUUACAGCAAUUUUCUCCCAUGCAGUUUCUCUGUCUUUUGCUGCAGUAGCGGUGUUGCUUUUUUUGUAAUACUCUCCAUACACUUGCAUUAAUACAUCCAGCUCAUGCCGACCGAUUGUUUGUGGUGGUUGCCAUGGUGAAUUGUGGUAUCAUGGCUCCAUUCAUGCUGCCUUCAUACUGUGGUGGUGCACGCGCUCAACUCUGAGACAACCUACUCAGAGUUAAACUCCAAACAGCUGUUCUGAAACCGAAAUCCGAGAGCUCCUCCAACCAUUUAGGAGCUAGGAUAACAAAGAGUUGUAAUCUUGUCGAGUGUUUGGCUCUCAGAGGGAGGAACAAUUUAGCAAAUGCCGAGCGGAGUGUGCGGGUUGGAUUGUAGGGUUUGAUUUCCUAGAUAUAGACUGGACACGAUCCAUUCACAGCACGAUACGUGAGUAUCAAUGUUUUGAAUUGGAUGCGUGCAGUCAGGAGAGAGUUGCAGUAGUCCAGGCGGAAGAUGACAAGAGCCUGAAUCAGCACCUGCUCCGCCUUCUGAGUGAGAAGGGGACGUAUUCUCCUGAUGUUGUAGAGCGUGUAUCUACAGGAUCGUGUUCUCCCUGUAAUGUUCGGAGUCAGGGAGAGUUGGCCGUCAAGUGUCAUGCCGAGGUUCUCAGCAGUCAAAGUCGCGUUACGCAGGACCUGACUGAAGUCAACAGUCAGGUCCUGGGUAGGAGUGUCAUCGGCAUAGCUGUGGUAGGAGACGCUAUGUGAGCGAAUGACAGCCGAGAGAGUUGGUGUAGAACGAGAAGAGGAGGGGACCGAGGACGGAACCCUGAGGAACUCAGUAGUAGUAAGAGGACAUGGUUCCGACACAGAUCCCCUCCAAGUUACCCGUUAGGAAUGCAGAGUGCGUUUAUUGGUGCGGUAACCUGGGAGGUAGAAGACAGGGAUUAAACUCUCCAAUGCCGAACAUCCUGCUCCCAGUGUUUGUCCGGUUCACCGUCUGUUUGUUCCUGCCAACCUCUGUAUGCAGGUUCUCCAGUAGGGUCACGCGUCUCGCCUGGCUUGCCAUCCCGGGAUCCGACGCACUCUAGCAAUGCUCAGACAACGCUUCUGGUGGCCUUCCAUGGAGGAGGACGCAAAGGAGUUUGUCGGUGCUUGCCUGGUCUGCUCCCAGCAUAAGAGCACACGUCAACCUCCGUCCGGACUUCUUCAUCCUCUACCUAUUCCUGGACGCCCUUGGUCCCACAUCGCCAUGGAUUUUGUAACUGGCCUGCCUCCCUCUGACGGUCAUCACAUCAGUCAUCCUCACGACCAUUGAUCGAUUUUCAAAGUCUGCUAUGUUAUUACCACUACCAAAGCUACCCACUGCCCAGGAGACCGCUUAAGUUUUGUUGCAAAACGUUUUCCGGCUGCAUGGGUUACCCAUUGACGUGGUCUCUGACCGGAGACCACAAUUCACUUCUCGUUUUGGUCAGAGUUUUGUAGAUUGCUCUUCAGGUCAGGUUGUUUGGUGCGAGUGGCGGAGUUUUUGAAUCGGUUUAGAGCUUUUUUUGAGAAUAAUCUGGUGUGUUGACCGAGGGAGUUAUACAAACUGGCUUUUGAGUGAUCAGGGUUUUUUUUGUCGAGGUGCCCGCGGAGGAAUGGCGUCCUCCGAGACGCCACCUUCGUCUCUCCAGCAGGGAGUAAGGAUUGUCCCGCCGGAUAACGCGGCCACUGUGGAGGAGGUUGUUGCUGGCUGACGAGGAGCAGGUAGGACACGAGAACCUGUCCUUCGCUUCCAGGAUGAACAGAGCUGUGGUUGUGUUCCUCAAAGACGAACCUCGUGUCCACCAGCUAAUUGAGAGCGGCGUGUUCAUCAGGGACGCGCUCAUGCAGGUGUCCCCGCUGACAGCACCAUCUACGCGGAUCAUCGUGUCCGGUGUUCCACCGUUUAUCCCAAAUGAAGCGUUAACCAACGAGCUGCGGAGGUUUGGGAAGUUCGCCGGUGGAAUAAAAGCGGUGAGUCUGGGAUGCAAAGAUCCCAAACUGAAACGCGUCCAGUCUCUGAUGCGGCAGGUCUCCAUGUUCCUAGACUCACCUGCUCAGAGCCUGGACAUCUUUUUCAGGGUGAAGCACGGCGACAGUGCAUAUAUGGUGUACGCCAGCUCCGGGCAGCUCAGGUGUUUUGAGUGUGGAGAAGUGGGGCACAAAAGGUUUUCUUGUCCGCGAAGGAAGCAGGCGGCCGCUGCUGAUGCCGGCGAGGGCGUGACAAACGCGUCCAACUGAGCGGCGGACGAACCUGCGGCAAAAGAACCUGUGGCGGCGGACGAAGCGGCGGCGGACGAGCCAGCAGUGGCUGAAGGGGCGGCGGCAGACCGCGAAUUUGACGGAGCAGUGGCUGUUGCCACUGACGCACAACUUCAGGACGCGACGCAGAAGAACCAACCAAAUGAGCAAAAGGUUUCUGUUGCUGCAAAGAACACCUGCUCUCAGUUUGAAGAAAACAUGGAGCAAGAGGCUUCCACGAGCACACUGUGGCUACAAUUGAAGGGCAGGGUGAAGAUGGCGCCUCUGCAGUGGCUGCCUGUCACCGUAGCGCUCGUGUGUUAACUUUGUUUUGGGACUUAGCUCUUU
ensembl:lncRNA